rnacentral:rRNA from 1 species
AGAGUUUGAUCCUGGCUCAGGACGAACGCUGGCGGCGUGCUUAACACAUGCAAGUCACGGGGGCUCGCAAGAGCAACCGGCGAACGGGUGCGUAACACGUGAGCAACCUACCGAUUUGUGGGGGAUAGCUGGCCUAACGGCCAGGUAAUACCGCAUACGCUCGCCGAGGGACAUCCCUUGGUAAGGAAACCUCCGGGGCAAAUCGAGGGGCUCGCGGCCUAUCAGCUAGUUGGCGAGGUCACGGCUCACCAAGGCGACGACGGGUAGCUGGUCUGAGAGGAUGGCCAGCCACAUUGGGACUGAGAAACGGCCCAGACUCCUACGGGAGGCAGCAGUGGGGAAUCUUACGCAAUGGACGAAAGUCUGACGCAGCGACGCCGCGUGGGGGAUGAAGGCUUUCGGGUUGUAAACCCCUGUUGCCCGGGACGAACUUCUCCUUUCGAGGAGAUUGACGGUACCGGGUGAGGAAGCACCGGCUAACUCUGUGCCAGCAGCCGCGGUAAUACAGAGGGUGCGAGCGUUGUCCGGAAUCACUGGGCGUAAAGGGCGCGUAGGUGGCGCGACAAGUCAGUGGUGAAAGCUCGAUGCUUAACAUCGAGUCGGCCACUGAUACUGUUGGGCUUGAGCACUGUAGAGGCUAAUGGAAUUCCGGGUGUAGCGGUGGAAUGCGUAGAGAUCCGGAAGAACACCGGUGGCGAAGGCGGUUAGCUGGGCAGUUGCUGACACUGAGGCGCGACAGCGUGGGGAGCAAACAGGAUUAGAUACCCUGGUAGUCCACGCCGUAAACGAUGGGCACUAGAUGCUUGGGGGAGCGACCCCCUGAGUGUCGACGCUAACGCAUUAAGUGCCCCGCCUGGGGAGUACGGCCGCAAGGCUGAAACUCAAAGGAAUUGACGG